rnacentral:misc_RNA from 1 species
UUUCCGUAGGUGAACCUGCGGAAGGAUCAUUAAUUAUAUAAGGCCACAUGGCAAGCUUUCCGAAAGUAUCGAGCUUGCUGUGUGAACCCUACCUACCCUUGCUUUUUGCGUACCCAUUGUUUCCUCGGCAGGCUUGCCUGCCAGUAGGACCCCCUUAAACCCUUUGUAAUUGCAGUCAGCGUCAGAAACGACGUAAUCGUUACAACUUUCAACAACGGAUCUCUUGGUUCUG